GGAAUAACUACUCGAGCCAGUCAGUUUUUCAACCAAGAAGUAAAAGUAUCACCAGCAUCUGGGAUACAGCAAUGGCAAAGAUGGAUAUUAUGAAAAAAACCCUUAAAGUGAAAAAGAAAAAAAUCAGCAAAAUUUGUAUAUCACACACACACACACACACACACACACACACACACACACACGAUCUAUCCAAAGUGGAGGUUUAUAAUUAAAUAGAUUCUAAGGGUGUAAGACUUGGUGUCUGUAUGAACCUUCAUAUGUACCUGGGAGUUACUACCUAGCUUUUAUCAGAUUCUCCAGGGAGUCUACAAGCUUCAAAAUUUUAAGAGCCACUGAAGCCUAUAUCUCACCAUAACUCUAGAAGGUAGAGUUGUCACAGAACAUAAAAAGAACAAUCUAAAAUAGAACAGACAAUGAAAUACAGUCUAAGUUCCUCACAGAUGCAUAAGUUAAUUCCUGAAACUCAAAUGAAGUGCAAAUAUCAUAGGAAUUAAAGUUUUUAAAAUAUUA